ensembl:processed_transcript Gm12945 predicted gene 12945
CAAGGCACACAGAAAGGACUGACUGAAACACUGGUCUUACUCUUUGGGGAUGCGUGUGGGGUUGACUUUCAGAGAGAUGUUUGGGGAAGUGAGGUUGAGAGAGAGGCAGCCCCUGUCGAUCUCCAGUGUCUCCAUUUUGUCCCGGUGGUCAGAGUUGAGUUGCUGCCGAAUUUCCUGCAGGAGACUGGAGAAGGAGAAGACACUGGAGCCAUGGCUCCCAAGGACCAGGACGCGAGCCUCACUGGACUGCAGGGAUACUGAAGGAUCCGGGCCUCCUGGCGGAUUUGGUGGGAAGCAUCUCGCUGCCGCUCUGCAUUGGUGGACAAUAGGUAGCUGUUGGUGCGCCAGUCGGAGAGCCGGUAGCGUUCGCUGGGCUUGAAACUUAGUGUCGCCAUGGCUAAGGAGACGAAGGUCUGAACCCCUUAGGCCUGUUCCAGAUCGCCACCUGCAGAAGAAUAGAAAACCCGCCUUUUCUGGAUCCCCUCUCCCCAAACCUUGGCCUCUUGGCUCUAAGCCCUUUCCCGCAGAGUCUGCUGGGAAGGUUUCCAACUCAGCCCCCCUCCAACUCACCUCCUGUGAGGUAUUAGCAAUCAAGCUGUAUUUCCUCAGUGGUCUGUCUUCAGGCACAAAGCCCUGGAGCCUGCAGAUGCAAGGAUGCUCGUAAAGGAAAGGAU